rnacentral:rRNA from 1 species
CGACGCCACGUGAGGGAUGACGGCCUUCGGGUUGUAAACCUCUUUCAGUAGGGAAAAAGCGAAAGUGACGGUACCUGCAAAAAAAGCGCCGGCUAACUACGUGCCAGCAGCCGCGGUAAUACGUAGGGCGCAAGCGUUAUCCGGAAUUAUUGGGCGUAAAGAGCUCGUAGGCGGUUUGUCGCGUCUGCCGUGAAAUUCCGGGGCUCAACCCCGGAUCUGCGGUGGGUACGGGCAGACUAGAGUGAUGUAGGGGAGACUGGAAUUCCUGGUGUAGCGGUGAAAUGCGCAAAUAUCAGGAGGAACACCGAUGGCGAAGGCAGGUCUCUGGGCAUUAACUGACGCUGAGGAGCGAAAGCAUGGGGAGCGAACAGGAUUAGAUACCCUGGUAGUCCAUGCCGUAAACGUUGGGCACUAGGUGUGGGGGACAUUCCACUUUUUCCGCGCCGUAGCUAACGCAUUAAGUGCCCCGCCUGGGGAGUACGGCCGCAAGGCUAAAACUCAAAUGAAUUGACGGA